rnacentral:misc_RNA from 1 species
CAGCGCGGUAAUUCCAGCUCCAAUAGCGUAUAUUAAAGUUGUUGCAGUUAAAAAGCUCGUAGUUGAAUUUCGGGAUUGACACAUCGGUCGUGCCUUAAGGGGUAUGAACUGGUGUAGUCAAUUUCUCACCUUCUGGAGAACCGCAAUGCCCUUAAUUGGGUGUCGCGGGGAACCAGGACCUUUACUUUGAAAAAAUUAGAGUGUUUAAAGCAGGCAUUUUGCUUGAAUACAUUAGCAUGGAAUAAUAAAAUAGGACGGAUGAUUCUAUUUUGUUGGUUUCUAGGACCACCGUAAUGAUUAAUAGGGAUAGUUGGGGGCAUUAGUAUUCAAUUGUCAGAGGUGAAAUUCUUGGAUUUAUUGAAGACUAACUACUGCGAAAGCAUUUGCCAAGGAUGUUUUCAUUAAUCAAGAACGAAAGUUAGGGGAUCGAAGACGAUCAGAUACCGUCGUAGUCUUAACCAUAAACUAUGCCGACUAGGAAUCAGACGAUGUUAAUUUUUUAAUGACUCGUUUGGCACCUUACG